CUUAAGUCACAAACCAAUUCACGGCCUCAGCCCUUAUUCUAACAAUAGAUAUGAUGAUUUACCAUUAAUAUUCUGAUUAAAUUUUCCUUAAUUUAUCCCCAUACGCAUUUGGGCUUGACUAUGAAGUCUUGUAUAAUAUUGAAAUGUUGUUGAAAUUCAACUUAAUUUUGGAAGAAAAUAUGAUUGAAAUUUCAGUAUCGAGAGCAUGAGUUGGUGUACAUUGCAAAAGACGAUGUAAUGGUAGAUCAUAUAGAGCCUAUUAUUUUUUUUAGGACAUCAAUAGACAUAAUGGAAGUUUCAAUUUUUUUUUUUAAUUUUAAGAAUUAUACAUCAAUUUUUUAAAGUAAAUAUAAUAUUAUAUUAAUUGAAAAUUUGAAACAUGUAUUUAUUUUUAAUGAAGCUCAUUCUGAAUGUAGUAGGUGCUAUACAUAGUAAUUUUUAAAUACA
rnacentral:lncRNA from 1 species